rnacentral:rRNA from 1 species
GAUGAACGCUGGCGGCGUGCCUAAUACAUGCAAGUCGAGCGAACGGACGAGAAGCUUGCUUCUCUGAUGUUAGCGGCGGACGGGUGAGUAACACGUGGAUAACCUACCUAUAAGACUGGGAUAACUUCGGGAAACCGGAGCUAAUACCGGAUAAUAUUUUGAACCGCAUGGUUCAAAAGUGAAAGACGGUCUUGCUGUCACUUAUAGAUGGAUCCGCGCUGCAUUAGCUAGUUGGUAAGGUAACGGCUUACCAAGGCAACGAUGCAUAGCCGACCUGAGAGGGUGAUCGGCUACACUGGAACUGAGACACGGUCCAGACUCCUACGGGAGGCAGCAGUAGGGAAUCUUCCGCAAUGGGCGAAAGCCUGACGGAGCAACGCCGCGUGAGUGAUGAAGGUCUUCGGAUCGUAAAACUCUGUUAUUAGGGAAGAACAUAUGUGUAAGUAACUGUGCACAUCUUGACGGUACCUAAUCAGAAAGCCACGGCUAACUACGUGCCAGCAGCCGCGGUAAUACGUAGGUGGCAAGCGUUAUCCGGAAUUAUUGGGCGUAAAGCGCGCGUAGGCCGGUUUUUUAAGUCUGAUGUGAAAGCCCCACGGCUCAACCGUGGAGGGUCAUUGGAAACUGGAAAACUUGAGUGCAGAAGAGGAAAGUGGAAUUCCAUGUGUAGCGGUGAAAUGCGCAGAGAUAUGGAGGAACACCAGUGGCGAAGGCGACUUUCUGGUCUGUAACUGACGCUGAUGUGCGAAAGCGUGGGGAUCAAACAGGAUUAGAUACCCUGGUAGUCCACGCCGUAAACGAUGAGUGCUAAGUGUUAGGGGGUUUCCGCCCCUUAGUGCUGCAGCUAACGCAUUAAGCACUCCGCCUGGGGAGUACGACCGCAAGGUUGAAACUCAAAGGAAUUGACGGGGACCCGCACAAGCGGUGGAGCAUGUGGUUUAAUUCGAAGCAACGCGAAGAACCUUACCAAAUCUUGACAUCCUUUGACAACUCUAGAGAUAGAGCUUUCCCCUUCGGGGGACAAAGUGACAGGUGGUGCAUGGUUGUCGUCAGCUCGUGUCGUGAGAUGUUGGGUUAAGUCCCGCAACGAGCGCAACCCUUAAGCUUAGUUGCCAUCAUUAAGUUGGGCACUCUAAGUUGACUGCCGGUGACGAACCGGAGGAAGGUGGGGAUGACGUCAAAUCAUCAUGCCCCUUAUGAUUUGGGCUACACACGUGCUACAAUGGACAAUACAAAGGGCAGCGAAACCGUGAGGUCAAGCAAAUCCCAUAAAGUUGUUCUCAGUUCGGAUUGUAGUCUGCAACUCGACUACAUGAAGCUGGAAUCGCUAGUAAUCGUAGAUCAGCAUGCUACGGUGAAUACGUUCCCGGGUCU